AAUACAGUAUCAGCUGUUUUAAUUUUUGGCGACUCUACGGUUGAUUCCGGCAACAAUAAUUACGUAAGUACUAUUGCUAAGUCCGAUUUUCCGCCAUACGGACGGGACUUUGUCAACCACAUUCCCACUGGAAAAUUCACCGAUGGCCGCCUCAUGACGGAUUACAUAGUUUCGUACCUGGGAAUCAAAGAUUUCGUGCCACCCUAUUUGGACCCAAGUCUUAGCUUGGACGAACUCAUGACCGGAGCUCUGGUUAUGACCCUCUCACUGCUCAAUUAGUCGGCGCAAUUCCAUCGCAAAAGCAGCUGGAAUAUUUUAAAGAAUACAAAAAGAGACUUGAAAAUUCAAUUGGGAAAGAAAAGACAAAAUUGCUAAUAAGCAAAGCAACAUUUAUCAUAAGUGCAGGAACAAAUGGCUUUGCUGUGAACUAUUUUAACACCCCAUUUCGAAGAAAAACAUUUCCUAAGGUCUCUGCCUACCAGCAAUUCCUGUUGCAAUUGGUCCAACAAUUUGUCCAGGUAAGUCUUCACAUAAAUUAAAGCCACGUGAUUGUUCUAAAUGUGAAAAAAUCUACUAAUAGUUUUAUAUUUACAAAGUUCAUUUAGGGUGUGUUGGCAUGAACGAAAGGAAAAUAAAAAGUUUCUUACU